rnacentral:rRNA from 1 species
UACAGAGGUCUCAAGCGUUGUUCGGGAUUCAUUGGGGCGUAAAGGGUGCGUAGGCGGCGCGGUGAAGUACGGGUGUGGAAAUCAUCGGAGCUUAAACUCCGAAACUGCAUUCGAUACUGUGGUGCUUGAGGACUGGAGAGGAGACUGGAAUUCAUGGUGUAGCAGUGAAAUGCGUAGAGAUCAUGAGGAAGACCAGUGGCGAAGGCGGGUCUCUGGACAGUUCCUGACACUGAGGCACGAAGGCCAGGGGGAGCAAACGGG